rnacentral:rRNA from 1 species
UGGGGAAUAUUGGACAAUGGGCGCAAGCCUGAUCCAGCCAUGCCGCGUGAGUGAUGAAGGCCCUAGGGUUGUAAAGCUCUUUUGUGCGGGAAGAUAAUGACGGUACCGCAAGAAUAAGCCCCGGCUAACUUCGUGCCAGCAGCCGCGGUAAUACGAAGGGGGCUAGCGUUGCUCGGAAUCACUGGGCGUAAAGGGUGCGUAGGCGGGUUUCUAAGUCAGAGGUGAAAGCCUGGAGCUCAACUCCAGAACUGCCUUUGAUACUGGAAGUCUUGGGUAUGGCAGAGGGGAAUGGAACUGCGAAUGUAGAGGUGAAAAUCGUAAAUAUUCGCAAGAACACCAGAUGCGAAGGCGACUCAAUGGGCCAUUACUGACGCUGAGGCACGAAAGCGUGGGGGGCAAACAGGA